CAAAAUGAAACACGGAGAACCCACGAAAUAACUCAGGCCCAAAUGAAACACGCAUACCUCUUGUCCCCUCUCUCAUUACCCUAAUCCUUUGUCGUUCCCUCUUCCCUCUUGUCCGCUCAUCAACAAAAUGGUGAAGGCAACUGGUUUCGCUCUUCCCUCUUUUCCUCAAUUCUUUUCGUUCGUAACUAGUGGCUCGAAGUACCGUCUUCAUCAUCUUCACCUGAUUCGAGAAUUGCGGCAACAAAACUUGCGACCUUUUGUCCUUGCCACCACAACUCCAAUAUGCUCCCAGGAUUCGAAAAUCAGGGUUUGCAAAUUGGUGGUGAAAUUAGGUUUGCAAAUUGAAUUGGAUGGGAACCACAAGAAAAAAGAAGGUGAUUUUGUUCGAUGUAGUUGACGAAAACGCCAUAGCUCCAGGCAAAUUAAUGCAGAUGUUCCUUUUUCUUCUGAUGAACCAGGAAGAGCACUUCAUCUCCAAGCUGCACUUUGUCUGGCCUCAGGUGUCGUGUCUAUCUGAGUUUCCUACUCGAGGUAGCCUUGUUGUUCUAGCGAGCUACACUGAUAAUUUAGAUGAGGUAUGAUGUUUCAUUGUGUAUUCUGAUGCUCAGAUGGUUGUCCUGUAUGGACUAAGUGGUUCUUCAAAUGUGAGUGAUCAUUAUUGGAAUCAGGAAUAUGUGAAAGCAAGUCCCUUUAGUUCAAACUGUAAAAAGGAUCCGGAUAUUCUUUUGCCAAAGCAAUUGAUUAAUUGGGUUUCCUCCCUUGAUCAA